GAACUUAAGCAUAUCAAUAAGCGGAGGAAAAGAAACUAACAAGGAUUCCCUCAGUAACUGCGAGUGAAGUGGGAAAAGCUCAAAUUUGAAAUCUGGCAGCUCUUUCAGGUUGUCCGAGUUGUAAUCUAGAGAAGCGUUACCUGUGUUGGACCGUGUAAAAGUCUUCUGGAAUGGAGCAUCAUAGAGGGUGAGAAUCCCGUCUUUGACAUGGACUACCAGCAUGCCAAGGUGCACUCUCAAAGAGUCGAGUUGUUUGGGAAUGCAGCUCAAAAUGGGUGGUAAAUGCCAUCUAAAGCUAAAUAUUGGCGAGAGACCGAUAGCGAACAAGUACCGUGAGGGAAAGAUGAAAAGAACUUUGGAAAGAGAGUUAAACAGUACGUGAAAUUGCUGAAAGGGAAACGCUUAAAGUCAGUCGCAUUAGCUGGAAAUCAGGCUUGCUUUUGCAAGGUGCACUUUCUAGUUGAUGGGUCAGCAUCAAUUUUGAUUGUUGGAUAAAGUCAUUGGGAAUGUGGCAUCUUUGGAUGUGUUAUAGCCCAGUGUUGAAUACAGCGGUCAGGAUUGAGGAAUUCAGCAUGCCUCUAGGGGCCAGGUUUCGACCAUGUUCAUGCUUAGGAUGCUGGCAUAAUGGCUUUAAUCGACCCGUCUUGAAACACGGACCAAGGAGUCUAACAUGCCUGCGAGUGUUUGGGUGAAAAACCCAUACGCACAAUGAAAGUGAAAGUUGAGAUCCUUAGGGAGCAUUGACGCCCGGACCAGACCUUCUGUGACGGAUCCGCGGUAGAGCAUGUAUGUUGGGACCCGAAA
rnacentral:rRNA from 1 species